rnacentral:pre_miRNA from 1 species
CUGAAGGGACAGUAGUGCCAGCCAUGCUCCAGGGUAGCCGAGAGGAUGGUAGACCGGUGACGUACACUUCAUUUAUGAUGUAGGUCACCCGUUUCACUAUCCAUUGGCACCCAGUCCAUCUG